rnacentral:rRNA from 1 species
UACGAAGGGUGCAAGCGUUAUUCGGAGUUAUUGGGCGUAAAGGGUGCGCAGGCGGUGUAUUAAGUCAACUGUUAAAUUUCCCGGCUUAACUGGGAACAAGCAGUAGAUACUGGUAUACUUGAGGGUGGAAGAGAGAAGUGGAAUUCUCGGAGUAGCGGUAAAAUGCGUAGAUCUCGAGAGGAACACCGAUGGCGAAGGCAGCUUCUUAGUCCACAUCUGACGCUCAUGCACGAAAGCGUGGGGAGCAAACAGG